rnacentral:rRNA from 1 species
UACGUAGGGUGCGAGCGUUGUCCGGAAUUAUUGGGCGUAAAGGGCUCGUAGGCGGUCUGUCGCGUCGGGAGUGAAAACUCAGGGCUUAACCCUGAGCCUGCUUCCGAUACGGGCAGACUAGAGGUAUGCAGGGGAGAACGGAAUUCCUGGUGUAGCGGUGAAAUGCGCAGAUAUCAGGAGGAACACCGGCGGCGAAGGCGGUUCUCUGGGCAUUACCUGACGCUGAGGAGCGAAAGUGUGGGGAGCGAACAGG